UACGUAGGGUGCAAGCGUUGUCCGGAAUUAUUGGGCGUAAAGAGCUCGUAGGUGGCCUGUCGCGUCGGCUGUGAAAACUCGGGGCUCAACUCCGAGCUUGCAGUCGAUACGGGCAGGCUAGAGUUCGGCAGGGGAGACUGGAAUUCUCGGUGUAGCGGUGAAAUGCGUAGAUAUCGAGAGGAACACCUGCGGCGAAGGCGGGUUGCUGGGCCGACACUGACGCUGAUGCGCGAAAGCCAGGGGAGCGAACGGG
rnacentral:rRNA from 1 species